rnacentral:rRNA from 1 species
CCCUUCGAUGUUCUGGGCCGCACGCGCGCUACACUGUUUGAUUCAGCGAGUCUUAACCUUGACCGAAAGGUUUGGGUAAUCUUCUAAAGUCAAACGUGAUGGGGAUCGAUCAUUGCAAUUAUUGAUCGUGAACGAGGAAUUCCUAGUAAAUGCAAGUCAUCAGCUUGCGUUGAUUACGUCCCUGCCCUUUGUACACACCGCCCGUCGCUACUACCGAUUGAAUGGUUUAGUGAGAUCUCCGGAUUGGCUCUGUAGGUCCCGCAAGGGAUUUAUUAGUAGCCAAGAAGCUGCUCAAACUUGAUCAUUUAGAGGAAGUAAAAGUCGUAACA